GCAGGAAGAAAAGAAAUGUCUUCUCAAAUGUACCCAUCUUCUAAAGGGGGCUUGGCAGCUUUUGAGACUCAAGUUUUGGCAACCAACUGGCAUUUCUCCAGCACGGGGCUGGGCUGGACGCAGAUCUUCUUGCCCUGGCUCUGCAGUCUCCUGAUGUCUCAGAGAUGUGUGGGGAAAGAUACACACAUUUCUCAUGCCAGAAGAUGCAUGCCAGUGGAUCUAAAGAAGUCUAAUGUGAACAAAGAGAAGAGUCUUCAAAUAUCUGACUUAUAUAUUCUUCCUGGGAUUUUGGAUAUAAUCAGUGAAAACAACAGAAUGCCCUUUUAUUGGCUACUCAAACAGCCUGAGCUGUGUUUCCAUUCAUGAUGUAACUUUCAAACAAAGUGAAUUUACAAAGCAACUGGAUUCACAUGCUGGUGUCCCAACCUCGUUUUAAUAGAAUGUUCUGCUUGUGGCCCUCACAAACUCCCCACUGCUUGCUGAGGUGGAUUAAAAGAUGCAAACUCACUGAAAUACGCCAAAGAAUAUAAUGGUCUCUACAGAAGAUCUGGCUGUGUCAACCAACAAAAAGUUCCAGCUGUGGCCGCUGUGUGGAACAAAGGGAACUCUUGGCUUAACAUGGAGUGCAUGCUUCUGACGUUCCAGUUCAGGCAAGAAAUAAAUAAAGCUAUUACAAAGCCC
rnacentral:lncRNA from 1 species